rnacentral:rRNA from 1 species
UUCCAUACCGUACAAUUCUGAACACACCUGAUUUCAUCUGGUCUCUGAUGUUUAGCAGGAUCAGGCCUGUCUUGGUCUUGGUUAGGAGGAGACUUUUGGGGAAUAGGAAA